rnacentral:rRNA from 1 species
UGGGGAGUAUUGGACAAUGGGGGCAACCCUGAUCCAGCAAUGCCGCGUGAGUGAUGAAGGCCUUAGGGUUGUAAAGCUCUUUCGGCGGGGAAGAUGAUGACGGUACCCGCAGAAGAAGCCCCGGCUAACUUCGUGCCAGCAGCCGCGGUAAUACGAAGGGGGCUAGCGUUGUUCGGAUUUACUGGGCGUAAAGGGCGCGUAGGCGGUGCGAUAAGUCAGGCGUGAAAGCCCCGGGCUCAACCCGGGAAUUGCGCUUGAUACUGUUGUGCUUGAAUCCAGGAGAGGAUGGCGGAAUUCCCAGUGUAGAGGUGAAAUUCGUAGAUAUUGGGAAGAACACCGGUGGCGAAGGCGGCCAUCUGGCCUGGCAUUGACGCUGAGGCGCGAAAGCGUGGGGAGCAAA